rnacentral:rRNA from 1 species
CAAUAGCGUAUAUUUAAGUUGUUGCAGUUAAAAAGCUCGUAGUUGGAUUUCGGGUGGGUACCGCCGGUCUCCCACUGGGUAUGUACUGGCGUGGCCCGCCUUGCUGUCGGGGACAAUCUCCUGGGCUUUACUGUCCGGGAAUUGGAGUCGACGAUGUUACUUUGAGUAAAUUAGAGUGUUCAAAGCAAGCCUACGCUCUGAAUAUAAUAGCAUGGGAUAACACGACAGGACUCUGGCCUAUCGUGUUGGUCUGUAGGACCGGAGUAAUGAUUAAGAGGGACAGUCGGGGGCAUUCGUAUUCCAUUGUCAGAGGUGAAAUUCUUGGAUUUAUGGAAGACGAACAUCUGCGAAAGCAUUUGUCAAGGAUGUUUUCAUUGAUCAAGAACGAAAGUUGGGGGCU